UUGGCGACAUCCACCUCUUCGGUCUGUUCAUAGAGUUUACCGACCGCUUCGCCGAUACCGGGAUGCCAGCUCACCGCGCGGUUAACCGCUUCGCCAAGAUGCAGUGUGCCGGGGGCGUUUUUACUGGCGGGCGGUGCGAUGCGUCCGCUAAGAGAGGGGAGUUGUUCGCUCAGUUGUCCGGAAUUAAUGACCGCAGCGGGCGCGGCGGCGACGGGUACAGAUAACAGGCAGCAUGAAAGCCACCAGUAAGGCAUCUUCUUUCCCAUGUUAAGUCCCUGUCAAAAUACGCUUCUCGUUAUUGUUAAUGCCCGGGCGCUGUGCGCCCGGGUCA
rnacentral:sRNA from 1 species